rfam:Triticum urartu cultivar G1812 contig231874, whole genome shotgun sequence.
UGUAUAUUACCUCCGUCUCAAAUUACUUGUCUUAGAUUUUUCUAGAUACAGAUGUAUCUAGACACGUUAUUACAUACAUAUCUAUCUAGACAAAUUUAAGACACGUAAUUCAGGGCGGAGGGAGUAUUAU